AUUGAACGCUGGCGGCAUGCUUUACACAUGCAAGUUGAACGGCAACGCGGAGAAGCUUGCUUCUCUGUCGGCGAGUGGCGAACGGGUGAGUAUAGCAUCGGAACGUGCCAAGUAGUGGGGGAUAACCAAACGAAAGUUUGGCUAAUACCGCGUAAGCUCCAAGGAGGAAAGUAGGGGACCUAAAUAAGGCCUUACGCUAUUUGAUCGGCCGAUGUCGGAUUAGCUAGUUGGUGGGGUAAUGGCUCACCAAGGCAAUGAUCCGUAGCGGGUCUGAGAGGACGAUCCGCCACACUGGGACUGAGACACGGCCCAGACUCCUACGGGAGGCAGCAGUGGGGAAUUUUGGACAAUGGGGGAAACCCUGAUCCAGCCAUGCCGCGUGUAUGAAGAAGGCCUUAGGGUUGUAAAGUACUUUUGUUAGGGAAGAAAAGCUAGUUUUUAAUAAAAAUUAGUGAUGACGGUACCUAAAGAAUAAGCACCGGCUAACUACGUG
rnacentral:rRNA from 1 species